GUUGAUGGGGGAAAGAUAAUAUUCGGGUGCUUAUCUCAGGUACUUAUUGUAUGGCGAGUUUUGGAUUGAGAUGGAAGUUCCUCGAGUCGUGUGGGUAAAGUGUGCAACCUGUGCAGAGUGUCAACUAUUCGAAUAGCCGUGUCCAUGGUCAAGGACAGAUGGAUAACCGCUCUUGGGCUACGUCCAUUGUUUUACAAACUUGGGCAUGAGAAGGAAAUCCUUGAACUAUGACAGAUGACCUGUCGAGAUGAUUAAAUGAGAGUUGGUUGAACUCUGUUAUAUUGAUAUCUGUAACCUCAUGAUGCAUGAUUUUCAAAAUGAUGCAUGAUUUUCAAAAUGAUAGGAGACGAUAUUGCUCUUAAAAC
rnacentral:lncRNA from 1 species